ACUCCUACGGGAGGCAGCAGUGGGGAAUAUUGCACAAUGGGCGCAAGCCUGAUGCAGCCAUGCCGCGUGUGUGAAGAAGGCCUUCGGGUUGUAAAGCACUUUCAGUCGUGAGGGAAGGUGAGUGUUAAGUUAAUAGCUGCAUUCAUUUUGACGUUAGCGACAGAAGAAGCACCGGCUAACUCCGUGCCAGCAGCCGCGGUAAUACGGAGGGUGCGAGCGUUAAUCGGAAUUACUGGGCGUAAAGCGCAUGCAGGUGGUUUGUUAAGUCAGAUGUGAAAGCCCGGGGCUCAACCUCGGAAUUGCAUUUGAAACUGGCAGACUAGAGUACUGUAGAGGGGGUG
rnacentral:rRNA from 1 species